AAACCCCUUAGAUUAUUUCAAUUAAAAUUUUCUAUGUAAUUUGAAGGCAAAACCAAAUGCUUCUAUACUUGUGCAAAUAAUGACAGCAAGGCACAAAUUUGAAGGCACUAAAUCGGUGCCUUCAAAUUUGAUCUGAUUAGUAUCAGACUUCAAAAGGCCAUAUUGAUUAUAAUUAAAAACAUGUUUCAGGAAUGUAGGAUGAAAGAUUUGUAAUGCUUGGUAAUGAAAGUUGUGUGGAAAUGUAGCACCCUGUACUGUCCUAAUGGUUCUAAAUAACCAUGUGGUUAUCAGUGGGGUGCAAGAGAAAAAUUCCUCGCUAAGUCAAGCAUGUUCUGUUAUAGGACAGUGCUAGGAGCAAUGGAGACAACUGAUUUGGCAAACUUUACUGAAAAUAAAAUUAUAUAAUUACAUUUUUUAAAUUCUAUUAAUAAACUAGUAUCCCGUGUUUGAAUAGCUGAAGCGAAAGCCAUUGGAGUGUCCUGCCACACUGAAGUGCCUGGGGUCAGCAGAUGCUGGCAGUCCACCUAGACAACUCUAUUGUAUACCAAAGGAGUAGAGAUGGAGACCAAUUCCUCAGACGAAGUUAAGAACAGUUAAUUAGCAAUGAUUCAAGCAAUGCAGAAGUUAUAGCAGCUUUAGAUGUGUCUGCAGGAACUAGGACGACUUGGCUCUGGAUAGUUGAAGUUGUCUUUGCUAGAAAUAAAACAUUGUACCCCCUUUUAAAUAAAUGUAUUAAAAAAAAUUAUUUUUAAAUUUUCCUA